ensembl:lncRNA
CAGCCCUUAAGGGAAGCAUUAUCUUCUUGGAGACUCCCUCCUUUGGGGUGUUUCAUCAGACCUAAUCCUCAGAAAGGGGUUCUUGUGUAAUAUGAAAUCACCACUGGAUGGAACAGCUGACUUAAAAGUACUGGUUCCUUCUGUAACUACCUACAAACAAUGGGAAAUAUCAAGAAGAUUGCUGUGCGUGUCCGUAUAUGUAUUUACUUCCUAAGUCAUCGUCUUAUCCACAAUGAAUAGAUUUGAGUUGUGGGAGAGUGAAGAGAAUAUUAUUUAAUCCAGAACAUGCAAAUCCUCUACAAGAUGUAUUUUAAAUCUGUAGUACUUAGAAUGGAAAUCUCUAUUUUCUCAUUUCUUUCAUGGUGUGAAUGUUUUUGAUGCCCUCUUCCUUUGUGCUUCUAAGGAGGCUGUCUGCCUCAUCAUGCUGUGGGACGGGGCUCUCUGAAUACCACAAUUGGUCAUAUGGGCAGGUGUGCUGUGGCUAGGUUUGAGUCCUGUUCUCUGAGCUUGCAUGUAAGGUUAGCUCAGGAAGGGGAUUUUACUUACUAACCAGCCAGUGACUAGGCAAAGGAAAUGUGCGAGUUGUACUUAUUUGAGAGGGCAAAGAGGUUUUUAUACAGUUAUAUAUAACGAACUAGUCUUAUCCAAAAGCAUACUACUACCCAUUGCUGAAAACUAGAUUACCCUGGAUUAUACAUACUUUUUUUUCCUGGGCAUCACCUUAUUCCAGCCUUUUCAUACAUAUAACUAGUUUGCAGCUCACAGAAUCACGGAAUCAUGUAAUUGAGUUGGAGGGGACCAAUGAGGUUUUGUUUAGGUUUUGUUUUUGCAGCUCAUUGCUGGAUAAUUUGGCUUCCAGUUGUGCAGAGAGAGGAAGAUAUAGUAUCAGCUUUCAUUUUUUUUCCCCAACUAUUCCCUAAUGGCUAUAAUUGUACAACAGCUCUGGGCUGGAAGCCUGCCAUCACCCCAUGACACUGAAAAAUCUUUUAAAUGCUCCUUGAUGGCUGUGCUGAAAUACUUCUUUAGUAAUAUGUAUUAUUUGUCACCUUACUCUGAGGUUCACAGCACUUUAAAAAAGUCAAAAUGGUUUCUUUCCAUAGGGGAAAAAGCGCAGAAGGGUUAAGAACGUAAACAGAUUUUUCCAAUUCCAUGUAAAAGUUAAAUCAUAAUUCCUACUUGUAAACAGUUGAAGUUUCUGUCACAGAUUUACUCUUGAAACAAAUGGGAGUGCUAACUGGGCUGUGGCCAAAAGAGUUAUUCCUUUUGUUUCUCUGGACACUUCUUAAAUAAAGGAAUCUCUGGCAUGAGCAAGAAUGUAUCUUCUUUCAUAAAAGGUGGGACUUGAAAUAGGUUUAUUUCUGAUACUGAGGGGGCCUUAAUGGGGGGGAAAAGGUUGCUUUUUAGGACUGAAAUAAAGAAAGUCUUCAGUUAAUGCUGCCAGAAGAUACUGCAUUCUUCAAGCUAUGUAAAUGAGUAGAUUUUAUUCUGUGGAUGAAAAUUUUAGUCAAAACUAUGAGUGUUUUUCUGUUGUCUCUCCAGUAAAAGAAGCUGCUAUUCUGUGCUCUUGAGUUUUCAGAUACCUUAAGUUAAGAAAGGUAAAAAUUGACGCUGGCACUCUUUCUUUGCUUCAAGUGCUUUUUUUCCCCCCCUGCUAUUCUGCUGUAUUUUGUUUGUGUUUCCAGUGUUUGAUCACUUGUAAAAUGUAUCCUACAGUUGUGAACAAUUAAGAUUUGCUUCUAAGGAACAAAAAAUAUUAUAACUAUUAUCAUAGUAAUUUAAAUUUGCCUUUCUCCUGCACUGAAAUAAGUAUUUUAGUGAGAAAAGAGCAUAAAUCAGGGUUGUAAAGAAUUAUCUGUAGAACUGCUUUGUCUCACAGUUGUGUUUUUUCCACUCCAAAACUGCUAUGAAACUAUUUCAUCAAGAUUUUGCAAUAUUGGCUCUGUUUCUGAGCCUAUGCAUCUCACAUGCAGGUGCUCUUGUCAUAGCAAGUUCUCCAUAUGUAAAUGUUUCAACUCCCUCUGAAUGUAAUAAAGUUCUUUAUUUUUGAAUUAUUAGUUUAAAUUCUACUGUUAUUUUUACAGAAGGAAUAUCUGUUUAUUGUAGAUAAAAGAUGAAGGGCAAGCAGUCAUAUUUGAACUUAAAUGCUGAUGCAUAAAAUUAGUAAGAAAGAGGUC